rnacentral:snoRNA from 7 species
CCUUCCCCUAGAGGCUUUGCAGGUGUGGCUGCUCUGUCACAUGUGUGUCAGUAGGUGGCAGAGAGUAGAGAAGUUAUGUCUAUGCUCAGUGUUUUGACCUGUGAAUAUCUGAAUGAUUAGUAGCCUAACAAU